ensembl:lncRNA
UGACAACUAGUGGGAGACACAGUGGAGCUGCAGACAGAGAUCGUGGCAUUGGGGUGGAGGGUGACUCCUGGUUACAGGCCACACAGGGUUCAUCAGGGGGCCAGGCGUCCUCCUUCAAGAAGUAUUUAUGGGGCACCUCACCUACUGUGUGCUGGGCCCUAUUCCAGGUGCCAGGGACGCAGGACAGAACAGGACAGGCUCAGUCUCCGGCCUCCGGAAGCAUCUCUCCUAAAGGGGGGAAGAGAACACACAUGAGUACUGCAGAUAAACUGAGGCGUCGUAAGGAAAAGGGCGUGAUGCUGGGGCAGGCAGGUGGGUUUUAGAGAGGGUGAUCAGGGAAGGCCUUGCUGCGGGCGAGGUGACGUUUGUGUGCUUGUCAGGGGGAACAGCAAGUACAAAAGUCCUGAAGCAGGGCCAUGGCUGUCAUGUUGAGGACGCAGCGGGCAGAGGAGAAGGUGAUGAGAUCAGAGAGUUUCCUGCAGCGCCUUCCCAGGGUAAGGACUUUGGAUUUUAGGCUUAGUGCCGUGGGGAGUCCACAGGACAUUUCUGAGCAGAGAGGGGAGAGGAUCUGACUACAUUUUAUUUAUUUAUUUACUUACUUAUUUUACAACCCGAGGAUGGUGUUCAUUUCAGUAUUGGGCAGAUUUCUUCUCAAAAGCUGCUCCAGUUUCAGGAGGCCAGCGUAAGCGUAUAUAUUUUGCCAGGAUAAAGUUAUACUUGUGAAUGAACUCAUGCAACAGACAUUCUGCAGUUGCAUCAUUGGAGGCAUUUGUAGCGGACAGUCAGAGGGCCUGACCCGUCCCCCUGCUGCUUGCUGAUCCACAUCUGCUGGAAGGCGGAGAGAGCAGCCUGCAAGGAAGCCACCGCUCCGGAUUUUUAGUGCCUAAGGAGAAACUCUCUUCAUUGGCCGUGAUUUCUCCCUGCGUUCUGUUGGCCCCCCUGCAAUGCUGUGUGGGCACACAGAUCCUUUCAGAGGUCAAUAGCACACUUCAGAACCGAGUUAAAAGUGGUUUCAUGAAUGUCACAGGACGCCAAGCCCAGGAACGAGGGCUGGAGGAGACGCUCUGGACAUCUGGACCUCUCAUGGCCAAGGACGACCUCCUGACCAUCAGAAGCUCACAGCCCUUCUCCGGGGAGGAAGCGGAGGACACAGCGGGGGCCAUCUCCUGCUCCAGGUCCAGGGUGAUGCAGCAGAGCUUUCCCUCCGCGUCACACACCAGUCCCUCUCAGCUGUGGUAGCGAGGCUGUAACCUCUUUCCGUCAGGCUCUCCUCCAGGAGGUCAUCUCCCAAGUCACGCUCAUUGCAGAUGGGUAACAGUCUGUGGAUUGGCCGUGGUCUGAGGACACCUCUUUGAUAGCAUCGAUUCAGGCUGUUGAGAGGUGGACGCUGGCGUUGCAGAACCUCUCAGAUUGCCAGAAGGAACAAGGCUCCUGCAUCCCUGUUCCCCUAAGCAGAUGAUUAGCCCUGAGCUAACUGCUGCCAAUCCUCCUAUUUUUUGCUGAAGAAGACUGACCCUGCCUGAGCUAACAUCUGUGCCCAUCUUCCUCUACUUUCUAUGUGGGACGCCUGCCCAGCAUGGCUUGCCAAGCGGUGCCAUGUCCACAUCCGGGAUCUGGGCUGGCGAACCCCGGACACCAGGAAGUAGAAUGUGCACACUUAACUGCUGCGCCACCGGGCUGGCCCCUUGACAUUUUGAAAAAGUGCCAUGUGACUCUGAUGCCCAGCUGCUGUCUGACCCAUAAGAGGUGUCUGGUGACUGUGCUCAUAGAAGUGCAGCACGUCUGUGAAGGGACACACAGGGAUCUGUGGCCUGCGGGGAGGGGAGCUGGGGGACAUCAGAGGAAGAUGAGUCACUUUUUGUUAUACAUCUUUUUGUACUGAUUGGACUUUUAACCUAAAAAAAAUGUUUGACCAACUGAUGUUGUUGCUGUCAUCUACGUGAGGGACCACCAACUCUAGGCCUGCGGCUGGGGCCUGCUGUCCGGCGAAGGACAGGAGCAGGCCAGAGGAACGGAGAGCUGCAGAGCGCGUGUCCCACCUCAAGGGGGCAGCAGCCGCCCAGAGCCUGCUGACUGUGUCUGGGUGGGACUGAGCGCAGCGCUGCCAGAUCUUCCUGCUUUUUCCAGAUAAGCCUGAAACCACAUUUUCAAGUAGGAUUAAUUGUCAACUAAUUCGAAAAUGUAGAACACAGCAUGGGCCGAACACAACACGUCUGCGAACCAAUUCUGGCUGCGGGCCACCAGUCCGUGCUGGCGGGUCUAGCAGGACGCUGUCAAGGACUGGGCACCUUGGAGGCCAAUCUGCAAAGCCAGGGCAGACCCAUCCUUCGCUUCUAGGAAAUCGAGUUCACUUCCCAUGGGGGUCCACACAGGACGAGGACAAAGCAGGUGCCCCAAGGCCCACAGGGGUCACCCGCCCACUCAAAAUGAUCUAAUUCCACACAUAUUUAUUAACCUCCCCUCGUGUGCCAGGCUGAGUGCUGGAGGUGGUGAAUGUGGUGAAUGUGACAGUCACAGUCCCUGGUCUCUAGGUGGGGAGACACACUUGAAAGAUAGUUGCAUAAUAAUUACAUUUGCGACAUGAGGAGCUGCAGUAUAGCAUGGGGAUCCUAAGUUUGAGUUUGAUUCCUGAUUUCACCACUUGCUAAUUAUGUCACUUUGGG